rnacentral:lncRNA from 1 species
UUCUAAACCCCUCCCCAUAUUCACCAUCUCGGUGAAAUCAGAAGGAGCGCUAGCAAUCAUCCGCUCAUAAUAGAAUGAACUCAAGGUCUUCAGAAAGAUCUUGGUCAUUUCCUUCUCUUCUAGCGGAGGCACGAUCUGAAUGAACUCAAGGUCUUCAGAAAGAUCUUGGUCAUUUCCUUCUCUUCUAGCGGAGGCACGAUCUGUGCUGCCACCUCUCGCCACCUCUGGGCAUACUCUUUGAAUGUUU